GGGAGCGAGGUGCCAGGAGCCGGGGUAAUACGUAGGGCGCAAGCGGUAUCCGGAUGUAUUGGGCGUAAAGGGUUCGUAGGCGGUUUGUCGCGUCUAUCGGGAAAGUCCGAGGCUCAACCUCGGAUCUGCGGUGGGUACGGGCAGACUAGAGUGAUGUAGGGGAGACUGGAAUUCCUGGUGUAGCGGUGAAAUGCGCAGAUAUCAGGAGGAACACCGAUGGCGAAGGCAGGUCUCUGGGCAUUUACUGACGCUGAGGAGCGAAAGCAUGGGGAGCGAACAGGAUUAGAUACCCGAGUAGUC
rnacentral:rRNA from 1 species